GAGCCCCAGUAUCCUUCCACUGUUCAUGAAAAUUCAUGGUCGUUCUCUAAUUCACUAGCAAGGGAUGGUUUCUCUCCUUCCACAAGCUUUUUUCUUCUCUGGAUGCUUAAGCUGGGCAAGUGCCCCCAUACGAGGUUCAUCUAAUCAUUUUCUGAGCCAAGAGAAAAGCAGGGGUGUAGAGUUUGUGAAACCCUUUCCCCAUUCUGAGCCCCACUCCCCAGUAUCAGGAACCUUAUCUGAACCCUACUAAGACCUCUGCUAUAGAUCAGUUGAUAAGUUGUAUGGGUCAUAAAGAUGGAUGUGUGUAAUUAUUAGUGACAUAACAUGGAAACCAAAUGGUGUCAGUCUAAGAAUCAGUACCCAGAAAUAUCUACCAAAAUUUCUAACAUCUAGUCAUGUGUGUUCACUAAGACUUACUUUUCUCUUCAUUUAAUGGUGACUUUGUGAGAAGUUAUUGAAGGUCAGGAAUGUUUAGAUUUCUAAAUGAAUAGCAUCUUAAUAUUUUUGCUCAUUUUUAGGACAUUAUCAAAUGGAAACAGACAUCACCAAAAAUCAUAGUACAUUACUUUGUACUUAUCACUGAUUGACCUAUUUUAAGUAUCAAUUAUAGGUCUGGUAAAAAAUUGCUGACGUUUGCAAGGUGUCCAAGAUAACAGAGCUCUAACAAAAGACGAGUCCUAGAGACUGUUUAUCUUUAAAAUUGAUAUUCCCUAUACAACAAAAAUGAGAAGAAAACUAAUGAGCCUGGAUUUUAAAUUCAUCAUUUUCUGUCGGCAUCUGUGAUCUGAGUCUAAAUCUGGAUGAGCCAAGCAUUUCAGGCCCCAGAGCACAGGGGAGAUGCCAUAUUAAAGAACAUGGAUGCUGUUCUCUGUCCCAGCAGCUGUCAGGAGGGUGGGUGCUCCCAGGAGGGUAACAGCAGUAUCUAUGUGGGGACUCAGAAAUACCCUGCCUCUCUCUGCUCAUAACCUUCAUACCCUUAGUUUUCUCUGACCCCUGACUUCUCUGCAAGUGCAACAUGCAGUGCAGAACUGUGCUGAAGGUGACUUGCACUUGCUCAGAAGAGCUAAUUGUUCGAUUUUCAUGAAAUCUGUGGGCCUCUGGUUAGACAUAGCCAGUGUCAAGAAUUAAAUGAUAUACAUUUGCAAUUAAGUCAAUUACAUUAAAAAGAAAAUAUGACUAUUCAGAACUCAUCACUUCCUAAUUAUUUGGCUGUAUUUUGCUCUUUUCUAUGUCCUUGAGGUUAUUUAUCUAAGGUGAGAGUAUUUAAACCAAGGAUAUCAGCCAACUCUACACAUCAGGGUUUUCUCCCCCGAGAGAACCAGUUGUUAAACAGUUAGCAAUAUAUUGCUAGGAGCCUCCUUCUCUUACUUCCAAAUUUGUAGUAGUACUUGAACCAGACUGACUGGGUUUAAACCCAGGUUUUGCUGUUUAGCAGCUUGUGUUACUUGUGCACAUUAUUUAACUUCUUUGUGCCUUAGUCUCAUCAUCUGUAAAAUGGAGAUGAUAAAGCAGCAACUUCACAGGGUCACUGUGAGGAUUAAAAGAGUUGUUAUUUGUAAAGUAUUUUGGAAUGGGGCCUGAAACCUAAGAAGCACUACUUUAGUAUUUGUUAAGUAAAAUAAAAUAAAUACAAUACUAAGGGCUACCAUUCCCUCAUUGUUUCUAUCUUAUUUUUUCUCAUCUCUCAACAUCUAUUAUGUUCUCUCAUACUAAUAAAACAUCCAAUUUUUGUUGGACACCUCACUAUCCAAAGUAAAGAUUAAAUUUCUCAGCCUUGAGUGAAUAAAUUCUGGUCGAGACAAUGUAUACAGAAGUAUAAGUGAUAAUUUCUAGGAGUUUGUUUUCAAUGAGAAUAGGCAUAUCCUUUUUGCCUUUUUUCUUUUUUCUUUCUUUUUUAUUUUCUUUCUCUUUUUUUAAAUUUUAUGGCUGUACCCAUAGCAUAUGGAAGUUCCUGGGCCAGGGACUGAAUCUGAGCCACAGCUUUAACCUACACCAGGAAUCGAACCCACACUUCUACAGAAACCCAGCCUGCUGCAGUUGGAUUCCUAACUCACUGUACCACAGCAGGAACUCCUCUUUUUUAAAUUUCUUCUUCUAUCUUCUUGAUCUUUGAAACUUGGAUAUGAUGGCUGGAGCUCAAGCCGCCAUAUUGGACCACAAGGACAAAAGGCAUACCCUAGGGUUAGAACCAAGAAGUAUGAAGUAAAUCAGUCAUAGUUGAUGAUAAGAAAGAUAUAAAAGGUAGCUGAAAUAUAUUCAUAGUUCAGAAUAAGAAUUAAAAUAUAAGAUGAAUCAGGUUUCAGAGAUUUAGAGAUAAAUUUAGAUUCUAAAUGAUUUUCCAGUUCUAGAUCCAUGAAGCCCAGGUAAUGUGGCUCAUACUCUUGGAUUUAUGGAAAAUCCCAUCUCUCUAUUGUCAUGUGUAUCUUUAAAAUAAACUUUCAUGCUUGAACUAAUGUAAUUGACUAUUCCAUGAAACCGAGAGUGAAACUAACUAAACUUUAUGAUCUAAAAUACAACAGUAAAGAUAUAAUUCUACCUACCUACAGGUAUAUUUCACUCAUUAACAUUUUCCUGUGUAGGCAAAUUUACACCCUAGGAACUGAGGGCUUCCCCUUUGGAAAUGUUCUAUAUCCUCAUGAGGUUUCUGAGUAUAAAGUUUCAUUCUCAAGUAAUACCUGUCACUUUCCCAUCUUGAGAAGGCUUUGAACUUUAAUUCCACUCUAUCUGGAUUAUUAUAUAUUAUUCAUAACUAAUGAUUCCCUUGGGAAAAAAUAAGUGGGCAAAGUUUGCCUCUCAUCUAACUCCUUUUAGUGGUCAUUCCCACCCUAAUCCAGCUCCUGAGUUGAGUGGACAGACAGACUUGAUUAACCUCCUUGGACCUACCCCAGCUCACCAACACCUCAGACUUCCUCCCCUUGUGGCAUCGCAAUUCACUGAUGACAUACAAUAUUUUCUCAGGGCAUUGCUAAACAGAUGGUCAGUUAAUCAGAGACAAGAAUUUGACUUGCUUUGAGAUAUUAUAUGACUCUAUUUUGGAUUCUAUUAUUGACCCAUAUGGAGAUUUUUAACUGGUCCUUCCAGUUAAACCAAAGGGAAAUUUAAUAUUUGUAAAAUAGUUAGGUGUUAGGCAUUGUUCUAAGGACACUAUUUAAUUUAACUUUUACAACUAACCCGCCAAUCAAGGUUUUUAGUUGCAAACAAGAAAAAACCAACUCUGAAUGACAAACAGAAAAGAAAUACAUUGGAGAGAUACUCAGAAGUUCACAGGAUGGCCAAGACCACAGAACCAGUCUUGGAAAAUUGGUCAGAAUAAAGAUAAGGCAGCAGAGUAUAUUAGUUGUAAUACUGAUAUACUAUCUGUAUUAACUGAUAAACUGUGAAAUUGCAGUAGCUUAAGACAAGACACUGUAUUUUUCAUUCAAACUGCAAUUGGUUUGAAGGAAAAGAGGUGAGGCUUUUCCCAAUGCAAUCACUAAGGAAUUUGGGCUGAUGAGAGCUUAAACAUUUUCAACACAUGACUCCCAAAAUCACCUUGAGCCUCAACAUUCUGUCAGCAAAUGGGAGAAAAGGAGGAAUGGAGAUCCAUGUGUGACAUGUUUAUGGGCCAAGCCUGGAAGCAACAUACAUCACUUCUGUUCUUAUAUUAGUGGUCAGAACUCGGUCACAUGACCACACUUAACUGUAAGAGAGUUUAAGAAAUGUAAUCCAGCUGGAGCUUAGUAAGAAAGAGGAACAGCUAGCCAGUCUCUGUUCUAGCCCAUCCUUUUAUCAUCAAAUAUCUAUGCCAUACUUCCUCCCACACAGAAACAAUCUUGCCUUCCCUGAGAAAGAUAAUCCAAAACCCUCCCCAGUCAUUGAGUUUGGCUCUAAGCUCAGAUUCUCUAGGGAUAAUCAGUAGUCUUCCAUCAAGUUCAUGUCCAUGGCUCAUUUUGGUCCAAGUAAAUAUAACUCGAAAAACAAAUUGCCUCCUUCCCAAAGCAUCUGAUACGCAAUGAUAGAAAAACAACAAUGAUAGAAUAAGAAUGAAAUAAUUGCAGUAAAUCUACUCCUGUGGAAAAGAGAAGAUAGCAAACAGUCACUGGUGUGUAAAGAUGUUAAAUUCUACUGGCCAGGCUUUCUGAAAACCCUAACCUGGGAGUAAAGUUUCUAGAAUAAACCCUCAAUCAGCUUUCUGGAAGAAACUCUCUGACUAUUGUACUUCAUGGCUCCUUGCUCCACCAUCUCAAAGUUUCUUCUUUGCUCUUUUCCUCCUUGGCCACUCAAAAUAUGUUUGAAAGAAAGGCAUGUCCUCUUGAAGGUUGCUUAUCUUUCAAAGCCUGAAUAUUGCUGAAAAAUUUAGGGGCUCAAAAUUUAUUUUGAUACCUAAAGGCUUGUUUUAGUAGAAGCUCAUGGUUUCUUUGGCAGUAUAGGGGUUUUUUUGUUGUUGCAAUUGACUUCUAAUCUUUUAAGCAUUGUGUCAGAAAAGAUGCUUGAUAUGAUUUCAUUUUCUUAAAUUUACCAUGGCUUGCUUUGUGGCCCAGGAUGUAAUCUAUCCUGGAGAAUGUUCCAGAUGCACUUGAUAAAAAUAUUUAUUCUGCUGCUUUCAGACAGAAUGUUCUAUAAAUAUCAAUUAAGUCCAUUUUGUAUAAAGUGCCACUUAAGGCCUAUGUUUCCUUAUUGAUUUUUUGUCUGGAUGACCUGUCCAUUUAUGUAAAUGAAGUAAUAAGAUCCCCAACUGUUACUGUGUUGUUUGGAUUUCUAAUUUUAUGAUGGUUAGCAUUUGCCUUAUAUAUUGAGGUGCUCUUAUGAUGGGUGUGUAUAUAUUUACAAUUGUCAUAUUUCUUCUUGGAUUGAUCCCUUGAUCCUUAUAUAGUGGCCUCCUUUAUUUCUUGUAAGAGUCUUUAUUUUAAAGUCUAUUUUGUCUGAUAUGAGUAGUGUUAUUCCAACCCUUUCUUUUGAUUUCCAUUUUCAUGGAAUAUCUUUUGGCAUCCCCUUUAAGUCUUUUUGUGUCUCUAGAUAUGAAAUGGGUCUCUUGCAGACAUCAUAUAUAUAGGUUUUAUUUUUGUAUCCAUUCAGCCAGUCUAUGUCUUUUGGUUGGAGCACUUAAUCCAUUUACAUUUAAGGUAAUUAUCAAUAUGCAUAUUCUUUUUGUUUGUUUGUUUUUUGUCCUUUAGGGCCACACCCAUGGCAUAUGGAGGUUCCCAGGCUAGGGGUCAAAUUGGAGCUGUAGCCACUGGCCUAUGCCAUGGCCACAGCAAUGCAGGAUCCAAGCCACAUCUGCAACCUACACCACAGCUCACAGCAAUGCCAGAUCCUUAACCCACUGAGUGAGGCCAGGGAUCAAACCUGCAUCCUCAGGGAUGCUAAUCGGGUUUGUUAACCACUGAACCACAAUGGGAACUCCCUGAUAUGAAUAUUCUUAUUAUCAUAUUUCUUUGGUGGUAUAAUUCCCUCAAAAACCUAGUAGAGGAGUUCCCAUUGUGGCUCAGCAGUAACAAACCCUACCAGUAUCCAUGAGAAUGCAGAUUUGAUCCCUGGCAUCACUCUGUGGGUUAAGUAUCUGGCAUUGCUGUAGCUAUAAUGUAGGCCAGCCCCUGUAGCUCCAAUUUGGCCCCUAGACUGGGAACUUCCAUGUGUUGUGGGUGC
rnacentral:lncRNA from 1 species